CCCCCGGGAGGGCGGGGCUUGACGUCACGUGCCGGGGAGGAACAAACACCCACGCGCGUAGACAGGGCAAGGCGAGAGAGGAGAAAAAAAAGCGCGGAAGGCAGAGUCAGUGAGUGGACUUAAAAGCGGGGAGGAAUGCGGCGCGGGAGAGGACUUCGCCGUCGAGGGCGGCGGCGAUCGGAGCUGGGGCUGCCAUGGCGAAGGAGGAGAUGACGGGCGGCCACGAGGACCCCGAGCUCCUCCCGGGCGCCAAGCAGGAGCCGGGGCCGGAGGGCAGGGCCGGGACGCCCAACGGGGCUCUGCCGGGCUCUGCUCCGGCGGAGGUGCGUCUGUGCCGGCGGCGCUGGCUGAUCGUCCUGCUCUUCAGCUCCUACUCCUUCUGCAACGCCUUCCAGUGGAUCCAGUACGGGAGCAUCAACUCCAUCGUGAGCAAGUUCUACGGCGUGAGCGCCUUCGCCAUCGACUGGCUCUCCAUGUGCUACAUGGUGGUCUACAUCCCGCUGCUCUUCCCCGUGGCCUGGCUGCUGGACAAGAAGGGGCUGCGCCUCAUCGCCCUCGCCGGCGCCGCCCUCAACUGCCUGGGCGCCUGGGUCAAGACCGGCAGCGCCCAGCCCGGCCUCUUCCCCGUCACCGUCCUCGGCCAGGUGGUCUGCUCCCUCGCCCAGGUCUUCAUCCUCGGCAUGCCCUCCCGCCUCGCCUCCGUCUGGUUCGGGCCCCGGGAGGUCUCCAGCGCAUGCGCCCUCGCCGUCUUCGGCAACCAGCUUGGUAUUGCAGUGGGUUUCCUUCUCCCUCCAGUUCUGGUUCCCAAUUCGGACGAGAGGGAAGAGCUGGGCUAUCACAUUCGCAUCAUGUUUUUUAUGACUGCAGGUGUAGCAACGUUACUCUUCAUCUUGGUUGUCUUUGUAUUCCAGGAAAAACCUCCAUAUCCUCCAAGCCGGGCCCAGGCCAUGAUCCACUUGGCAGCACCUGAGGAGUAUUCCUACCUGCAAUCUAUUGUGCGGCUGUUUCGCAAUGUCAACUUUGUGCUGCUGAUAGUCAGCUAUGGCUUAAACACAGGAUGCUUCUAUGCCCUUUCCACAAUGCUGAACCGCAUGGUGGUGCUGAAUUAUCCAGGAGAGGAAUUGAAUGCUGGCAGAAUUGGCCUCACUAUUAUCGUGUCAGGCAUGCUUGGAGCUUUGAUUACUGGAAUCUGGUUGGACAGAACCAAAAUGUAUAAGCAAACGACCCUGAUGGUUUAUAUUAUGUCAUUUGUGGGCAUGGUGAUUUACACUUUUACUCUGGACCUAGGCUACAUUUGGGUGGUCUUUGUGACUGCGGGUGUGCUGGGUUUUUUUAUGACAGGCUACCUGCCACUGGGCUUUGAAUUUGCUGCUGAAUUGACUUACCCAGAGUCGGAGGGGACAUCAUCGGGCCUUCUCAAUGUAUCUGCACAGAUUUUUGGAAUCAUUUUCACAAUUAGCCAAGGACAGAUUAUUGAUGACUUUGGGACUCGAGCAGGAAAUCUCUUCCUCUGUGCCUUCCUGUUCGUUGGCACUAUUAUAACAGCUUUCAUCAAACCUGAUCUCCGGAGACAACGAGCCAAUCUGGAAAAUGAGCAGACUCAAUUCUCAGACUCCUGCGAACUCGCUCUUUAACUCCCCUGUCCGCCGUGAAGGAUUGCUUUCUAGUGAAGAGAGGCGAGAGCUUUUCAAGAGACUCCAAGCCAGUAACAGUCAGAUAAUGAAUUAUGGAAUUGUUCCUUAACCCCAGCAUUUCCCACCCCUGCCCAAUAACCCCCAAUUAAAGCAUUUCUGCCUGCAAAAUGUGGACACACACUGGCACUUAAGAAAUUGGGAGACAUGCCUUUAGACCAGUGUAAUACCACUAUAUGAGGACUUAAAACUUGAAAGAGUUUGGUGGCAAAAUGAGGAAGUGGUGAUACUGCUGCUGCCAUUGCUGACAUCACUACCACUUGCAUCUCACAUAUGUAGUGGACCAGCCCCCAAGUCAAUUCACAGUGCUACUUAAGUUGCUGAGGAACCAGCAGGUCUUGAGUCACCUCCAUCGUGUGAACCAGCGUCUUUGCCCUGAUGUGGCUCAGCAGGCAAGGAUUAAAGGCAGCAGUUGACUUGUUUUGGGCACUUCAGCUGACUCCUGAAUCCAGCAUUGCUUCAGUUGUAUACUUGAUGGACUAAGAACUAUUCUCUGAUCAUCCAUGGAUGUGUUCUGUAGACACUCAGAACAGGAUGCAAAAUGGAUCCAGAGGAAGAUUCUUGCUCCUCAGGGAGAACCAGAAAGCCCUUGCUCUGUGAGCAGACCUAAAUGAAAUUCAACCCUUGAUUUUAACAUAGGGAACCAAUUACAGUGGGAACAUAACCCUGUUUAGAGAGCAUUUUUAAAACCCAGUCCAGCAGAUAUUUUUAAAUUAAUGAGCCAUUAUUUUUAAAUGCAAAAGCUCUAUUUUUACCCUCCAUAGAAAAGCAAUUUGUUUUAAGCAAUACUGGGAAAUCACAUCCUGCCAUAAGCAAUAUUGGGAAAUUGCAUAUUUUCUUCCACACUAGAUACCUUUGGCCCUACUAAGAUUUAGCUUUUUUCCUGUUCACUGAAUGCAGAAAUAAAACAAAGUUUCAGCUUUA